rnacentral:rRNA from 1 species
GACGAACGCUGGCGGCGUGCUUAACACAUGCAAGUCGAACGGUAAGGCCCUUUCGGGGGUACACGAGUGGCGAACGGGUGAGUAACACGUGGGUGAUCUGCCCUGCACUUUGGGAUAAGCCUGGGAAACUGGGUCUAAUACCGGAUAGGACUACGCGAUGCAUGUCGUGUGGUGGAAAGCUUUUGCGGUGUGGGAUGGGCCCGCGGCCUAUCAGCUUGUUGGUGGGGUGAUGGCCUACCAAGGCGACGACGGGUAGCCGGCCUGAGAGGGUGUCCGGCCACACUGGGACUGAGAUACGGCCCAGACUCCUACGGGAGGCAGCAGUGGGGAAUAUUGCACAAUGGGCGCAAGCCUGAUGCAGCGACGCCGCGUGGAGGAUGACGGCCUUCGGGUUGUAAACCCCUUUCAGCACAGACGAAGCGUAAGUGACGGUAUGUGCAGAAGAAGCACCGGCCAACUACGUG